CGUUGGUUCCUCACGACGAUAGGUGGCAAAUCCCGCCAGGCCCGGAAGGGAGCAACGGUAGUCACUGAUGCGGGUGCUGAGGGUCGGCUGGCGGAG
rnacentral:SRP_RNA from 1 species